rnacentral:lncRNA from 1 species
CUUGUUUGGAGUAAAUAUAAACAGCUGCAAGGCUACACCUUGGGAAGCAAUUUUAAAGUUGGGAAAGUUCUGCAGUGGGAGAGGGAAAGAUUUUCUCAACUGCUUUUUGUGUUUGUUUUUUACAAAAAGCUUGCUACCAUUUGGGGGUAGCUAAAGACUGUGGUAUUGUUAUAAACCACUGGGGUUGAAUUGAAAGGGCUUUUUUGUUUGGUUGGUGGGGUUUUUUGGUUGUUUGUUUCGUUUUUACAUCUCCGGGAGAGAAAUGCCUGGAGAUCUCAUGAGCAGGUCCAACUUUUCGAGGUAACAAAAGAAAGAUUGGGAUUCAGCUGUGGAAAUUGAGAUGCUUCUGGAAAUCAGGUCUUUUAAAUCUCAUCCUGUUACAUGGAGGCAGAAAGCACCCAGAGAGGUCUUUGCCUUGCUGGGCGUACCCACUCCCGCUCUGCCAUGGUUCAUGUAGUAAAGCUCAACUACUUGUGGAUGAAGUGAUAGAUACCAAUGAGCCAGACCCUUGGAGAAAGGAAGACUAUGUAGAGCUUCAUCAACAAGUCCUCUGGCCCUAUGCAAGUCUACAGAAAGAUAAUGUUUUAACAUCUGAAUGUUUUAAAAGGAAGUUACACAUUUACACAUUAAAUGCUUAUCUCUGAGCUUUAAAAGUGCAGCGAUGUGUGUUAGCACACUUCUUGGAGCUCAUUACAUUUCAGAGAUAUUACUAAAAACACAGUCAACAUCUCUGAGACUUGCAUUCCUUUCUGUACAAAAGGACCUCAUUAUGAGGAGCUAGACAAUCUGCUGGAGAUCCGAAAUGGUGUAUGCGUUUUUGCAGGCAUAAACAGUUUGACAGUAAUUUCACUUCAAUGUUAUGUUAGCAGUUUGUAUCCGUUUUAC